rnacentral:rRNA from 1 species
CCCUUAGACGUUCUGGGCCGCACGCGCGCUACACUGACCAGUGCAACAAGCAUCCGUCCUUGGCCGACAGGCCCGGGCAAUCUUUGAACGCUGGUCGUGAUGGGGAUAGACUUUUGCAAUUUUUGGUCUUCAACGAGGAAUUCCUAGUAAACGCAAGUCAUCAACUUGCAUUGAUUACGUCCCUGCCCUUUGUACACACCGCCCGUCGCUACUACCGAUUGAAUGGCUCAGUGAGGCCUUCGGACUGGCUCGGGGAGGUUGGCAACGACCACCCCAAGCCGGAAAGUUCGUCAAACUCGGUCAUUUAGAGGAAGUAAAAGUCGUAACA